rnacentral:rRNA from 1 species
AACGAACGCUGGCGGCAUGCCUAACACAUGCAAGUCGAACGAGACCUUCGGGUCUAGUGGCGCACGGGUGCGUAACGCGUGGGAACCUGCCCUUAGGUUCGGAAUAACUCCCCGAAAGGGGUGCUAAUACCGGAUAAUGUCUUCGGACCAAAGAUUUAUCGCCUUUGGAUGGGCCCGCGUUGGAUUAGCUAGUUGGUAGGGUAAAAGCCUACCAAGGCGACGAUCCAUAGCUGGUCUGAGAGGAUGAUCAGCCACACUGGGACUGAGACACGGCCCAGACUCCUACGGGAAGCAGCAGUGGGGAAUAUUGGACAAUGGGCGAAAGCCUGAUCCAGCAAUGCCGCGUGAGUGAUGAAGGCCUUAGGGUUGUAAAGCUCUUUUACCCGGGAUGAUAAUGACGGUACCGGGAAAAUAAGCUCCGGCUAACUCCGUG